rnacentral:rRNA from 1 species
UGCCCUACGGGAGGCAGCAGUGGGGGAUAUUCCACAAUGGGGGAAACCCUGAUGCAGCGACGCCGCGUGAGUGAAGAAGUAAUUCGUUAUGUAAAGCUCUAUCAGCAGGGAAGAAAAUGACGGUACCUGACUAAGAAGCCCCGGCUAAAUACGUGCCAGCAGCCGCGGUAAUACGUAUGGGGCAAGCGUUAUCCGGAUUUACUGGGUGUAAAGGGAGCGUAGGCGGCCUGGCAAGCCUGAUGUGAAAUACCGGGGCCCAACCCCGGGGCUGCAUUGGGAACUGCCAGGCUGGAGUGCCGGAGAGG